GUGAAGAACGUAGCGAAAUGCGAUAAGUAAUGUGAAUUGCAGAAUUCAGUGAAUCAUCGAGUUUUUGAACGCAUAUUGCGCCCUCUGGUAUUCCGGGGGGCAUGCCUGUUCGAGCGUCAUUAAAUAACCCUCAAGCAUAGCUUGGUGUUGGGCUUUUUUACGUCCUUGACUGGGAUGGGCCUAAAAAUUAGUGGCGAUGGCUUUUUUACUUUCAAGCGUAGUAAAUCUCGUCUUGCUAAAGAGGAAAAAGAUUUUUUUUCUGCCAAAAAUUUUAACAUUUAAAGUUGACCUCGGAUCAGGUAGGAUUACCCGCUGAACUUAAGCAUAUCAAUAAGCGGAGGA
rnacentral:misc_RNA from 1 species